ensembl:lncRNA
AGCCCCUGCAAGCCUCUCCUCAAUUGGUUACACCUCACCAGGCCUGAAGCCAUUUUAUUUGCCCUGGGGCUGCCCUGCGCCGUGCACCCCCAAGUCAGGGGCCAGAGUCCCUCUCUCUGAUCCCCUCCUCCCUGCCAUGUGACCGCCAAACCCUCAGCCCUCCUCUGGGGAGUGAGAGACUCUGGCCUGGUCCCUCAGCUUCACACAUCUUCAGGGCAAAGGACGGAUGGCUGAGCAAGACUGACAUCUCCUGAAUGCCUGAGGCCACCCCGACUGCCCUCCAACCCCACCUCCUAGAUUUGGGUGGCCUCUUCCCUCUCUGCCCCUCCUGACAUCUCUUCCCUCCACACCCCUGCCCUUCCCUGCUCCAGCCAGACUUCACUGGAAUGUCUGGGCUCGGGUCCUGAUGGACCCCAAGGUUGGCAAGGGUGGGGGGGACACAGCCGGCUGGCCAAGCCUUAACAGUGACCGGAGACCCUCCUAGGGGAACUUCCGAGUUAAAUUUCUGCCUGGGGAGAAGUUUACCAGAAUGUACUGAAUGGAGACACCAAAUUCAGGGUUAAACUAGCAGUUCUAACCCGUGACUGCAUUUUAGAAUCACCUGGGAAGCUUUUCCCCAAAACACCACUACCCAGGUCCCACCACAGAUGUUCGGACCUAAUUAAGGCCCAGGCAGCAACUUCUUUUCCCUUUUUCUUUAACUUCUUACUGAAGUAUAACAUUUAUACAGAAGAGCACACAUAAGCCUAAGGCUCUAUGAAUCUUUUUAAAUUAAAUGCACCUGAGUAACCAGCAGUCUGCUGAGGAAACAGUUUUACUCUCCUCCUCUGAGCCCGGGGAUGGUGUUCAGUCACUGUGCCCCAUGGAGGAGAACCAUGCUCUUGGUUUUAGCACCAGGGGAUUCCUUGGCCAGGCGUUCUUUGAGAUCCGCCCAGGUGAUUUCUCCAGAGCAGCUGGGGUCCAGAACACUGGCCUGGACACCUCCACCACCUUGCGCAGCACACUACGGCCCUAGCCUACCCCCAACUAUUUCCCUUGACAAAGAUGAAGAGCUUCAGAGGCACCAAGCUCAACGGUUACUUCUUAAAUUAACAGACACAAGUCCCCACGGCGCCCCCUCUCCCAGGGCUGUCCCCUGUGGCAGGGGCCUCCUGAGCUGGGCCUACUGCUGGUGUUCACCACUAACCCUGGCUGUCUCUGAGAUGGUCCUUCCAGAAACUGCCACGGCUGUCAGGGCUCAGGAACCUGCUACUGCCUCCCCACCCUGGAUGCCAUUUCCCCUCCUGAACUGGAGGCUUUAGGAUGCACCUGCUGGGCGGGGGCAGCUGCUUUCUCAUAGCGGGCCACGGAAACUCCUCCGCCUCGACAGUCGGGGUACCAUCCAGGGGGCUGGGCUGAGGGACAGGGCGCCCAGCUGAAGGCAGCCCUCUGAGUGCGAACCUCGAGCUCGAGCCACUGUGGUCGGCAGGUUUGGAGUGGCUGGCCCCAGACACCGGGCUUUACCGAGGUCAAGGCAGCCAAGACCGUCACCAUCUCCAGGGCCUGCCAGGGACCUACGUGGGAGAGCAAGCAGGAAGCUGAGCCCAGGCUGCAGAAGGCCCAGUGGGGGAUAAUGGCCUCGACUGAGAAGGAGACUCAACUCAGAACAGCGUGGUGCACAGCGGGCAGGGAUUACUAAGGCCUGGGUGCCCCGGGCCCCUCAGGAAGCGAACACUGGCAGCACGUGGGGGCAGCACACGGUACACCACGCAACCGGCCCUGGGACCCCGCCCACCAUGCCUGUCCUUGUGCCACGUGACUGCCUCUCCGCUGAGGUUUAUUGGCCGCCUUGGCCGGGCUGGGCCAAUCAGAUUCUCUCCCCGGACUUCGGUGGUGUGGGCGUGGAGCCCGACCGGGAGAAGGCGGAGCUGGAGGCUCAGCUCUGUGCGAACUAGGCCAGGCCCGGGCAAGACUGAAGGGAGUCCAGCUAAACCCAGGGCUGGGGGCCUGGCAGCAGAGGCAGCCACGUGGGAAGGGAGGAGACGGGCAGCGUGUCUUUUCCAGGUCUGAUCAUUUUAUGGCCUGGCCGUUCCUUCCCGCUACCAGACGAUGCCCCUGCCUUCCAUCCUCACGUUCUACUUGAGAUGAUGAAUGGAGGUGAGGAGGUCAAAACCUAAGCACAGGGAACGCCCUGGUGAUCCAAUGGCAUAAGAAUCCGCCUACCAGUGCGAGGGGUAGUGGUUGGAUCCCUGGCCUGAGAAGAUCACACGUGCUGUGGAGCAACUAAACUCAUGAGCCACAACUACUGAACCCUGUGCGCCCUAGAACCUGGGCUCUGCAACAGGAGAUACCACUGCAAAGAGAAGCCUGAGCCCCCAGCUAGAGAAAGCCCUCCCAUAGGAAUGAAGAGCCAGUGUGGUUU